UACUCGCGGUCCAAGUCGCAGCCAUUUUUAUUGGGUCUAAAACCUCCGUAGCUUGCUUCGUAAGUCUCCUGUGAAAUCCGGUUUCUCAAAAAUCGGGCGGGCGGGAGGUACUGCGGAGCUAGAGACUGGUAGACGUAAUGAGUACGUUCGGAGUAUCGGUAAAAUGAGUUAAUCACGGACGGACUAACAACAGCGAAGGCACGUUACGAGAACAGUUCUGACAGUAAGGGAUGAAGGCUAGGGGAGCGAAAGGG
rnacentral:rRNA from 1 species